UACGUAGGGGGCGAGCGUUGUCCGGAAUGACUGGGCGUAAAGGGCGUGUAGGCGGCCGAUUAAGUAUGAAGUGAAAGUCCUGCUUUCAAGGUGGGAAUUGCUUUGUAGACUGGUUGGCUUGAGUGCGGAAGAGGUAAGUGGAAUUCCCAGUGUAGCGGUGAAAUGCGUAGAGAUUGGGAGGAACACCAGUGGCGAAGGCGACUUACUGGGCCGUAACUGACGCUGAGGCGCGAAAGCGUGGGGAGCGAACAGGAUUAGAUACCCCGGUAGUCCCUGAG
rnacentral:rRNA from 1 species